GAUGAACGCUGGCGGCGUGCCUAAUACAUGCAAGUCGAGCGAACAGACGAGGAGCUUGCUCCUCUGACGUUAGCGGCGGACGGGUGAGUAACACGUGGAUAACCUACCUAUAAGACUGGGAUAACUUCGGGAAACCGGAGCUAAUACCGGAUAAUAUAUUGAACCGCAUGGUUCAAUAGUGAAAUACGGUUUUGCUGUCACUUAUAGAUGGAUCCGCGCCGCAUUAGCUAGUUGGUAAGGUAACGGCUUACCAAGGCAACGAUGCGUAGCCGACCUGAGAGGGUGAUAGGCCACAUUGGAACUGAGACACGGUCCAGGCUCCUACGGGAGGCAGCAGUCGGGAAUCUUCCGCAAUGGUCGAGAACCUUGCGGAACGACGCGGCGUGAGUUGUGGCGGUCUUGCGAUCGUAAAACUCUCUUACUAGGGGAGAACAAAUGUGUAAGUAAAUAUGCACGUCUUGACGGUACCUAAUCAGAAAGCAACGGCUAACUACGUG
rnacentral:rRNA from 1 species